rnacentral:lncRNA from 1 species
GUAGCAAGAGAUCAGCAAUAUGUAAAUAUCAAGAAAACCUUAAUGUUUCAACACAAUGAACAUUACAUCCCAUGACAAGAUAUAAGGCUUUCAGAUUUAGUCCGGCAUCUUGAAUUUAUUUGUCAUUCAAAUUCAUGAAUUCAACACAAGCGGCAACAAAUUUGUUUCUGGGGUGAUUCCAACCAAGGCUUUUUACAUUUGAUACCUUGAUAACCUUUAUGGUUUAGUGAACUGAAUUGAGAUAUUUAUUUAUCCCAACAGAAUUAGUACGGCUAAAAGCAACUUGAGUAGACAAGAUAUCCAGACAUAACAACCAAUAUGCAAAAACCAAAAUUUCAAAAUAGUAUGCACUAAAAUAUCUAGAUCAUUUUUUUUUUUUGACAAAAACAAAAAAACUUAUAUGCUAAUAGUUGUUAAAAAUAAAAAAUAUUACCG